rnacentral:rRNA from 1 species
AAUUAUUGGGCGAGAGCUCGUAAGCGGUUUGUCGCGUCCAUUGUUAAAGCCCCGGGCUUAAACCUGGGUCUGCAGUCCAUACGGGCAGGCAGUUCGGCAGGGGAGACUUGGAAUUCCUGGUGUAGCGGUGAAAUGCGCAGAUAUUCAGGAGGGAACACCGGUGGCGAAGGCGGGUCUGUGGGCCGAUACCGCGGAGCGAAAGCGUGGGGAGCGAACAGGAUUAGAUACCCUGGUAGUCCACGCCGUAAACGGUGGGCACUAGGUGUGGGCGACAUUCCACGUUUUCCGUGCCGCAGCCGCAUUAAGUGCCCCGCGUGGGGAGUACGGCCGCAAGGCAACUCAAAGGAAUUGACGGGGGCCCGCACAAGCGGCGGAGCAUGUGGCUUAAUUCGACGCAACGCGAAGAACCUUACCCAAGGCUUGACAUAUGCCGGAAACACCCCGGAGACGGGUGCCCUCUUUGAGUCGGUGUACAGGUGGUGCAUGGCUGUCGUCAGCUCGUGUCGUGAGAUGUUGGGUGUCCCGCAACGAGCGCAACCCUUGUCCUGUGUUGGCAGCACGCCC